GUAUGCCUUAUACAUGCAAGUCGUACGAGAGUUUUUAACUCAAGUGGCGGACGGGUGAGUAACACGUAAGAAUUUACCUUUAGGAGGGGGAUAACCACUGGAAACGGUUGCUAAUACCCCAUAUGCUUUAAAGUGAAACGGAUUUUCCGCCUAAAGAGAAGCUUGCGGCUGAUUAGCUUGUUGGUGGGGUAAUGGCCUACCAAGGCGACGAUCAGUAUCCGGUUUGAGAGGAUGAUCAGACACACUGGAACUGAGACACGGUCCAGACUCCUGCGGGAGGCAGCAGUAGGGAAUUUUCCGCAAUGGGCGAAAGCUGACGGAGCAAUACCGCGUGAGGGACGAAUGCCUAUGGGUUGUAAACCUCUUUUUUCAGGGAGGAACAAAUGACGUGUACCUGAAGAAUAAGCAUCGGCUAACUCCGUGCCAGCAGCCGCGGUAAGACGGAGGAUGCAAGUGUUAUCCGGAAUCACUGGGCGUAAAGCGUCUGUAGGUGGUCAAAUAAGUCAACUGUUAAAUCUUGAGGCUCAACCUCAAAAUCGCAGUCAAAACUAUUAGACUAGAGUAUAGUAGGGGUAAAGGGAAUUUCCAGUGGAGCGGUGAAAUGCGUAGAGAUUGGAAAGAACACCGAUGGCGAAGGCACUUUACUGGGCUAUUACUAACACUCAGAGACGAAAGCUAGGGUAGCAAAUGGGAUUAGAUACCCCAGUAGUCCUAGCUGUAAACAAUGGAUACUAGAUGUUGAACAGAUCGACCUGUGCAGUAUCAAAGCUAACGCGUUAAGUAUCCCGCCUGGGAAGUAUGCUCGCAAGAGUGAAACUCGAAGGAAUUGACGGGGGCCGCACAAGCGGUGGAGCAUGUGGUUUAAUUCGAUGCAACGCGAAGAACCUUACCAGGGUUUGACAUGAUACGAAUUUCUUUGAAAGAAGAAAGUGCCUUUUGGAACGUAUACACAGGUGGUGCAUGGCUGUCGU
rnacentral:rRNA from 1 species